rnacentral:rRNA from 1 species
GCUCCAAUAGCGUAUAUUAAAGUUGUUGCGGUUAAAAAGCUCGUAGUUGGAGUUCUGCCAGGUGACGCUCGUCCGCCAAGUGGUGUGUACAGGGCGUGCAUCUGGCCCCUUUCAAGGGGGAACGUGUCUGCACUUCAUUGUGUGGUGCGAGAUCCUUGACUUUUUACUUUGAGGAAAUAAGAGUGUUCCAAGCAGGCUCU